GGUUUCUCUUCAAAUCAAAUAAAUCUUUCGUCUUUUACUAAAGAUUUCCGUGGAGAGGAACAAAAAA
rnacentral:snRNA from 1 species